rnacentral:rRNA from 1 species
GACGGAGGAGGCUAGCGUUGUUCGGAAUUACUGGGCGUAAAGCGCGCGCGGGCGGUUUGGCAAGUCAGGGGUGAAAGCCCGGGGCUCAACCUCGGAACGGCCUUUGAGACUGCCAGACUUGAGACCGGAAGAGGAGAGUGGAAUUCCCAGUGUAGAGGUGAAAUUCGUAGAUAUUGGGAAGAACACCAGCGGCGAAGGCGGCUCUCUGGUCCGGUACUGACGCUGAGGCGCGAAAGCGUGGGGAGCAAACAGG